rnacentral:hammerhead_ribozyme from 1 species
AUUCAGAUGAUGAGUCUUAAAUAGGACGAAACGCGUGUAUUGGAU